AGCUCUGUGAUUGCAGCCAAUUGAGUUGGCAAUAUACGCUAUUCUGAGAAAAAGAAUUAGAGAGCUGACAAUGGAUGAUAUGAGAGCU